GUGGGGAAUAUUGGACAAUGGGCGCAAGCCUGAUCCAGCCAUGCCGCGUGAGUGAUGAAGGCCUUAGGGUUGUAGAGCUCUUUCACCGAUGAAGAUAAUGACGGUCGUCGGAGAAGAAGCCCCGGCUAACUUCGUGCAAGCAGCCGCGGUAAUACGAAGGGGGCUAGCGUUGUUCGGAUUUACUGGGCGUAAAGCGCACGUAGGCGGUUUGUUAAGUCAGAGGUGAAAUCUCGGAGCUCAACUCCGGAACUGCCUUUGAUACUGGCAAUCUAGAGUCCGGAUGAGGUAAGUGGAACUCCUAGUGUAGAUGUGGAAUUCGUAGAUAUUAGGAAGAACACCAGUGGCGAAGGCGGCUUACUGGUCCGGAACUGACGCUGAGGUGCGAAAGCGUGGGGAGCAAACAGGAUUAGAUACCCGAGUAGUCC
rnacentral:rRNA from 1 species